GUGAACUGAGAUUGCGCCACUGCACUCCAGCAUAGGCGACAAAGUGAGACUCCAUCCCGAAAAAUAGAAAAAAAAGAUGGCAAUUUGGAAACACUUUGUGUUUUCAUUAUAAGCAGGAAGUUCAGUGGAGGGCAACAACUAAAAAACAGUAAUUUCAGAUUUUCAAAAAUGUUUAGAAGGACUAUAUAAUUAUUUGAUCAGAAAAGAACUGGUUUCUGUCUGUGACUGUCUUAAAUAUUUCAGGUAGUUUGUUAUUCUCUUAGGAGUUAUGAAUUAUAUUAGGUUAAGUGAUGGGGCCAGAUUUACAGAAUGUUUCAGAUAAUUUUUGUGAGGUUACUUAUACCACUGGUUGGAGGGCAUAAGUACUCUUUGCUAGACAUAGGAAAUAUGAAAAGACAUAAAAUAAAGUGAUGGAAACAGUAUAGUGUUUCAAGAGUGAAGUAGGAAGACUCUUAAGUGAAGAAAUUAAGUUUUUUAAAUGUUGGAUUAAUGUAGGGUGAUCAUACUUCCCACUUAGGAUAGUUUGACUUCUGCUGUUCUGCUGUAAUUAUUAAUGGUGACGUCUUUCAUUU